rnacentral:rRNA from 1 species
UACGGGGGGGGCAAGCGUUGUUCGGAAUUACUGGGCGUAAAGGGCGCGUAGGCGGUUCGCUAAGUUGGAUGUGAAAACUCUGGGCUUAACCCAGAGCCUGCAUCCAAAACUGGCAAACUUGAGUACUGGAGGGGAAAGCGGAAUUCCUGGUGUAGCGGUGAAAUGCGCAGAUAUCAGGAAGAACACCCGUGGCGAAGGCGGCUCUCUGGGACGGUACUGACGCUGAGACGCGAAAGCGUGGGGAGCGAACAGG